CCACGGAAGACGAAGAAGCAGAAGAAGAAGAAAAAGAAGAAGAAAUUUGGCUUAGCAGCAAGCUAGAUGGGGGAAAAAGUGAAAUGAAAUUAGCCAAUGUAAAAUGAGCGGAAGCGGAUAUUUCCAGGCGUUUGUCAUUUGAAGCCAGCACAACUGUCAUAAAAUUACAAUCCAUAAUCAUGUGGUGACCUAUCCUGAAACCAAAAGGUGCAUCGGGACCAGCCAGAAGGAGGUUUCUAGCAUAGAUGAAGCAUGAAGAGCCCAGUGCACCGAUGCAGGGACGUGGAGCACAACCGUGGGCAAGCGUGGGCAGGAACCACUUACUUAGAGGCCGAGCAACGCAUCCCCAUCUCCAAGGACGUCAUCACCUCCUCGUCUGCUUCCGCCAUGUGGUUCAUUAAGGACGCCUGUGGCAUCAUUUGCGCUCUCAUCACGUGGCUGCUAGUUUUGUAUGCACAGUUUGUAGUACUGUUUGUCAUGCUGCUGCCCUCCAAGAAUCUGACGUACAGCAUUGUCAACGGGUCUUUGUUCAACGCUCUGGCCUUUCUUGCCCUCGCCUCACACGUCAGGGCCAUGUGCACUGAUCCUGGGGCAGUGCCCAAAGGCAAUGCAACCAAGGAAUACAUAGAAAGCCUUCAGCUGAAACCAGGACAGGUGGUCUACAAAUGUCCCAAGUGCUGUAGCAUCAAGCCUGACCGAGCACAUCACUGCAGUGUUUGCAAACGCUGCAUACGGAAGAUGGACCACCAUUGCCCCUGGGUCAACAACUGUGUUGGGGAGAACAAUCAAAAGUACUUUGUGCUAUUUACUAUGUACAUUGCACUUGUCUCCCUCCAUGCUCUAUUCAUGGUGGUUUUCCACUUUCUCUACUGCUUUGAAGAAGAUUGGACAAAGUGCAGUUCCUUCUCUCCACCAGCAACAGUCAUCCUCCUCAUACUACUGUGCUUUGAGGGUCUCCUCUUCCUCAUCUUCACCUCUGUGAUGUUCGGUACCCAAGUCCACUCCAUCUGUACUGAUGAAACUGGCAUAGAGCAGUUGAAAAAGGAAGAGAGAAGAUGGGCUAAAAAAACUAAGUGGAUGAACUUGAGGGCGGUCUUUGGGCACCCUUUCUCCUUACUGUGGUUUAGCCCAUUCUCCACACCUGACCAUGGCAAGGCUGAGACAUACCAAUAUGUGGUGUGAAAGGGAAGAAUGCGUCCUCAUCUGAUUGGGCCGAUUUGAGCCCCGCUAAGUGGCUCCGACAGUCGCUAGUGACCGCGGACACCUUUGCAUCUGGUCUGUGUGCUUACUUCAUGCUUAAUACUUGUUUACAUUUUACCAUUGAACGCUGUUCUUUCGUAAAUCUUAUUUACAAACACUGUGAUGGUUAUUUUCAAUAUGUUUAAAUCAUGAAUUGACACCCGCCCCACUCGUUACCUUGAAACCUGUAUCUCAGGACCAUCCUUAAACCAAGGACUGCUGUAAACUAGUCAACUUGUCAGCUAGUCACUAUUUAUUGCCAUGCUUAAAAAGGAAGUCAACCCCAAAAUACCUGGCAACUGUGAUAUCAUUUUGAGUCGACAGCAGGUGGCAAAAUGGCCGACCUGAGAUGGAUAAAAACUGGUGAAUUUUACCUGCUUAAUUCAUAUUCCAAUAAUGAAACAUUAAUUAGAACACUAUGUUUUGACUAGUUGGGUAGCACAGGACAUAUUAUCAAGAAUAUUUUGGAUUGACUUCCCCUUCACAUAAGAGGCACAGCUGUUUGCAGCAACAAGUGUGUGUUAAGCAAGUCAGUAACUUUAAUUGAUUUAAUUUGUCUUCUAUUUCUGAACAUGCGGUCGGAACUAAAGAAGUUGACCGUUGAUGAACGUUUAGGAUUCGAUUCAGUACAUCCAUUUCCAAUUAUAAGUAUAAUGUGCGCAGUUGUGUGAGCGCAAAACAUUCUGAUUAUUGUGUGACAUUUGCUCAACAAAGUUGCCAUUGGUGGGUUACAGAAGGGUUAUUUCUAUUUAUUAACUUUAUUACAGGAACUGAAUUUGCUAGUGUUUUACUGUGACCAUUCAAAAUUGCUCCGCUAGGCUCGGUGAGAUUGCUUCCGCUGACAAUAUUUUGAAGAUAAAAGCUUAUCUCUAAAAGAAUUCAUGCAUUUCAGUCAGACCAAACUUCUCAUGUACUGUAUGUCCGGGCUAAUUUUUGAGACCCUUUUGUUUUCACAAUUGCUUGUGUGACUUUUCGCUGCUGAUUGUGCAGUGGAAGAAUGUCAAGUGGGCUUUAUUCUGUGCUUUUUCUUACAUUGUAAUGCAUUUAACAUCUCGACCGUACGCAGUUAUCAGGAUUCACACUUGUCGCUACUCUGGUCUGGAUCGAAGCACUUUUUAAUUACACGUUUGGUUAAUUUCUAUCAUAUUUGUGCUUUUAUCAGAAUGAGGCUCCCCAGUAAAAAGCGCAUGUGUAAAACCUUAUUGGACAGCUGUUGAUACAGAAGUCAGAUUUGACUGAAGUGUCCUGUGUAACAUUGCGGUAUUAAUGCCAGCAGACAUGUCAGGAAGGGCUUGAAAAUGUUUAUUGUGAUGAUUUUUUACCUCCACAAGCAAAGGAGGUUAUAGUUUUGCCUGUGUUUGUCUGUUCCCAGUUUAACAAAUCAUGGUGUAGUUAAUUUAAUGUGUCUUCAGAAUGAGCAUUUGAAUAUAGGCUGAUGGACCGCUUUUAAUAUUUUUUUUUGGGGGGGGGGGGGUCGAAAUAAUCACAGCAAGACUUGAGUAUAAUGAUUUGAGCCCAUCCUAAUCCAAAUUAGAAUGCCUUGAUUGUCCCCGUACCCCACUCGUCAAGGAAAUUAACCUGGAAAUCAGUGUAGUAGUUGUUGGUUACACGUUAUGAAUAUGCAGAGAAACAAAUGCAGGCAAAGUCAUAACCUCCUUUGCUCAAUUAAUGCAUGACGAGGGUAACACUCGGAUACAUUCCGUUUUUCUGUACUUCAUGGGGGGCCUGUUUUUUUUGUAUUCGCCGUAACAAACUCUGAAGUGCGCUUUAUUUCUUAUUUUCUGUCAACACUCAACAAACAUGUAUGUGAUAGCGAGUGAAGGCAUGGUAUUGACGAAGGCUACAAAUAGUAUAUAGAUUGUGAAACACUGCUGGAAUGCUGUAAAAUUAUUGCUGAAAAUGUUAGGUCUCAAUAUUUUGGGGGGCCACUUCAUUGUUGUAAACAUUCUGAAGUCAUUUCAGCACAUACAGGGAAUAAACUCUACUCAGUUGCAAUGCAAAAGUUAUUUCCAGACUCUUUUUCUGAGGGGGUUCGAUACUUUUUUCAAAUCAAAAAGUGCCUGACAUUCAUUUUUGCUCCGACUUUUUUGACACUCCAAACAAUGGUUCUUUCACUUGUCCGGCACAUUUUAUGAAUCUGUCUGUCUUUCAUUCUGUUCCCACCCUCUUCAUGCAUUUAAUUUGAUUGAUAACUGAUGUUCUCUGAAGCAGACAUCUCUUUUUGGUGACAGAGGUAAGCUGUGACAAAGUGCACUGUUGCUGUCUCACCAUGCGUGCAAUACAUCCUAAGCAUGCAGGUUGUACUUAAAAAUGGAAAGACGUGUUCCUUGUGAAAGGAGAAUGUACAGUCCGAUACACUUGUCACAGAUGACUUUGCUUCUGGCAUUAUUGUUUUUGUUUUUUUUCCUUCUGAUCUGCAUGAUAAUUUCAGUAAAUCUUGGGCAUGUUUCCAAGAAAGUAAAGGCAUAUUUAUUCCGUCCAUCAAUUCUCAGUACAAUACUCGCCUGCCAUAGUCGAUGUAGUCUAUAUUUUGCGCUCCGACUACCUCGUCAUGUUCGAAGGGUGAGCCUUUCUCCUCUUCACAUUUUUUCUUGAGCAUCAUGUGAUGCUCGCAAAUGCCUAACAGCUCAACAGCCAUCCAUCCAUUUUGAGUAUCACUUGAUUAAGGUCGCAGAGCCUAUCCCAGUUGACUUGGGAGCAGUGGGGUAUACCAACUAGUUGUCAGCCAAUUGGAAGGCCACAAAUAAUUCACACUUAUGUUCUUACCUCUGAACAGAGUUUUCAAUUACCCUAACAUGCAUGUGGAGAACAGAAACUAGGCUCAAGAUAACCAUUGCUGUGUUUCCAACCCCAAAAUCAUGGAAUUGACUUCCAAAAUGUGUUUGAUGCAUUAAAUGGAUGAAUCCAAA